rnacentral:rRNA from 1 species
GAUUAUUGGGCGUAAGGGCUCGCAGGCGGUUUCUUAAGUCUGAUGUGAAAGCCCCCGGCUCUACCGGGGAGGGUCAUUGGAAACUGGGAAACUUGAGUGCCGAAGAGGAGAGUGGAAUUCCACGUGUAGCGGUGAAAUGCGUAGAGAUGUGGAGGAACACCAGUGGCGAAGGCGACUCUCUGGUCUGUAACUGACGCUGAGGAGCGAAAGCGUGGGGAGCGAACAGGAUUAGAUACCCUGGUAGUCCACGCCGUAAACGAUGAGUGCUAAGUGUUAGGGGGUUUCCGCCCCUUAGUGCUGCAGCUAACGCAUUAAGCACUCCGCCUGGGCAGUACGGUCGCAAGACUGA